rnacentral:rRNA from 1 species
GAGUUUGAUCCUGGCUCAGAUUGAACGCUGGCGGCAGGCCUAACACAUGCAAGUCGAGCGGAUGAGAGGAGCUUGCUCCUUGAUUCAGCGGCGGACGGGUGAGUAAUGCCUAGGAAUCUGCCUGAUAGUGGGGGACAACGUUUCGAAAGGAACGCUAAUACCGCAUACGUCCUACGGGAGAAAGCAGGGGACCUUCGGGCCUUGCGCUAUCAGAUGAGCCUAGGUCGGAUUAGCUAGUAGGUGAGGUAAUGGCUCACCUAGGCGACGAUCCGUAACUGGUCUGAGAGGAUGAUCAGUCACACUGGAACUGAGACACGGUCCAGACUCCUACGGGAGGCAGCAGUGGGGAAUAUUGGACAAUGGGCGAAAGCCUGAUCCAGCCAUGCCGCGUGUGUGAAGAAGGUCUUCGGAUUGUAAAGCACUUUAAGUUGGGAGGAAGGGCAGUUAGUUAAUACCUGGCUGUUUUGACGUUACCAACAGAAUAAGCACCGGCUAACUUCGUGCCA